rnacentral:lncRNA from 1 species
AUGGGUUUUCUAGCCACAGAGGGUCUGGGGAGGGUUUUCCUGCUAAUAACGCCAAGGUCGCGGGUUCGAUCCCCGUACGGGCCAAGCAUGAGUUCAGACGCGGUGGCAUAUCAAAGGCAAAAGGCCUUUAGGUCCCGGAGUUUUCGGUUUUGGAGCCAUCCGAAGGGGAAGGGGAGGCAUCAGUGUGCCCCCAGGUGGCCAGGAAGGCCAACAGCAACUGUGAUGGUGUGUAUGAGAACUGGACAAAGGUUCCUUUCUCCCUUCCCUUCCUUCCUUUUGGCUGCUAGAGUAAAAACAAACAAGAAACCCUUUUACAAGUACAUCAACUGUAAGAGGAGGACAAAGGAGAAUCUCCAUUCUUUACUGGAUGUGGCUGGGAAUGUGACCACAGAGGAUAAGGAAAAGGCUGAGGUUCUCAAUGCCUUCUUUACGUCUGUCUUUAAAAGUCAUCUUGGUUGUUCCCAGGGCUUCCCAGUCUCGGCUGGGGAGCAGACUGAACCCCCUGUGAUUCUUGAAGAAGCAGUCAGGGAAUUACUGCUCCAACUGGACUGUCACAAGUCCAUGGGUCCAGACGAGAUUCACCUGAGAGUGCUGAAGGAACUGGCGGAGGUGAUCGCUGAGCCUCUUUCCGUUAUCUUUCAGCGCUCUCUGCUAACGGGUGAGGUCCUGGAAGACUGGAGGCUUGCCAACAUGACUCCCAUUUACAAGAAAGGUUGUAAGGAGGAUCCGGGGAACUAUAGGCCUGUUAGCCUGACCUCGGUGCCAGGGAAGGUAAUGAAACGGAUUGUCUUGAGGGAGAUCACGCAGCAGGUGUGGGAUGACCAGGAGAUCAGACCUAGCCAGCAUGGGUUCGUGAAGGGCAGGUCCUGCUUGACCAAUCUGAUCUCCUACAAUCCUGUGACCCGUCUAAUAGAUGAAGGAAAGGCUGUUGAUGUGGUCUACUUAGACUUCAGCAAAGCCUUUGACACUGUCUCCCAUGCUAUUCUCCUACAAAAGCUGGCAGCCCGUGGAUUGGGUGGGUACACUCUCGGCUGGGUAAGGAGCUGGCUGGAGGGCCGGGCCCAGAGUGUGGUGGUAGAUGGAGUUAAAUCCAGUUGA